UACGGGGGGGGCAAGCGUUGUUCGGAAUUACUGGGCGUAAAGGGUUCGUAGGUGGCCAACUAAGUCAUACGUGAAAUCCCUCAGCUUAACUGGGGAACUGCGUCUGAUACUGGUUGGCUUGAGUGCAGGAGAGGAACGCGGAAUUCCAGGUGUAGCGGUGAAAUGCGUAGAUAUCUGGAGGAACACCGGUGGCGAAGGCGGCGUUCUGGACUGCAGCUGACACUGAGGAACGAAAGCCAGGGGAGCAAACGGG
rnacentral:rRNA from 1 species